GCGGCUAUACAUGCAAGUCGAGCGGACAGAUGGGAGCUUGCUCCCUGAUGUUAGCGGCGGACGGGUGAGUAACACGUGGGUAACCUGCCUGUAAGACUGGGAUAACUCCGGGAAACCGGGGCUAAUACCGGAUGGUUGUUUGAACCGCAUGGUUCAAACAUAAAAGGUGGCUUCGGCUACCACUUACAGAUGGACCCGCGGCGCAUUAGCUAGUUGGUGAGGUAACGGCUCACCAAGGCAACGAUGCGUAGCCGACCUGAGAGGGUGAUCGGCCACACUGGGACUGAGACACGGCCCAGACUCCUACGGGAGGCAGCAGUAGGGAAUCUUCCGCAAUGGACGAAAGUCUGACGGAGCAACGCCGCGUGAGUGAUGAAGGUUUUCGGAUCGUAAAGCUCUGUUGUUAGGGAAGAACAAGUACCGUUCGAAUAGGGCGGUACCUUGACGGUACCUAACCAGAAAGCCACGGCUAACUACGUGCCAGCAGCCGCGGUAAUACGUAGGUGGCAAGCGUUGUCCGGAAUUAUUGGGCGUAAAGGGCUCGCAGGCGGUUUCUUAAGUCUGAUGUGAAAGCCCCCGGCUCAACCGGGGAGGGUCAUUGGAAACUGGGGAACUUGAGUGCAGAAGAGGAGAGUGGAAUUCCACGUGUAGCGGUGAAAUGCGUAGAGAUGUGGAGGAACACCAGUGGCGAAGGCGACUCUCUGGUCUGUAACUGACGCUGAGGAGCGAAAGCGUGGGGAGCGAACAGGAUUAGAUACCCUGGUAGUCCACGCCGUAAACGAUGAGUGCUAAGUGUUAGGGGGUUUCCGCCCCUUAGUGCUGCAGCUAACGCAUUAAGCACUCCGCCUGGGGAGUACGGUCGCAAGACUGAAACUCAAAGGAAUUGACGGGGGCCCGCACAAGCGGUGGAGCAUGUGGUUUAAUUCGAAGCAACGCGAAGAACCUUACCAGGUCUUGACAUCCUCUGACAAUCCUAGAGAUAGGACGUCCCCUUCGGGGGCAGAAUGACAGGUGGUGCAUGGUUGUCGUCAGCUCCUGUCCUGAGAUGUUGGGUUAAGUCCCGCAACGAGCGCAACCCUUGAUCUUAGUUGCCAGCAUUCAGUUGGGCACUCUAAGGUGACUGCCGGUGACAAACCGGAGGAAGGUGGGGAUGACGUCAAAUCAUCAUGCCCCUUAUGACCUGGGCUACCACCGUGCUACAAUGGAAAGAACAAAGGGCAGCGAAACCGCGAGGUUAAGCCAUUCCCCAAAUUUGUUUCCAUUUCGGAUCCAAUUUGGAACUCCACGCGGGGAACUGGAAAUCCUUAAAUCCCGAUAACAAUGCCCGGGGAAAAAUUUCCCGGGCUUGUAAACACCCCGUUCACACCGAAGAUUUUUAACCCCCAGAUUGGGGGGACCUUUUGGGGCCCCCCCCAGGGGGCAAUUGGUUAUGGCCCAUGGCCAACCCGCCCCA
rnacentral:rRNA from 1 species